rnacentral:rRNA from 1 species
GACGAACGCUGGCGGCGUGCCUAAUACAUGCAAGUUGAGCGAUGAAGAUUGGUGCUUGCACCAAUUUGAAGAGCAGGAACGGGUGAGUAACGCGUGGGGAAUCUGCCUUUGAGCGGGGGACAACAUUUGGAAACGAAUGCUAAUACCGCAUAACAACUUUAAACAUAAGUUUUAAGUUUGAAAGAUGCAAUUGCAUCACUCAAAGAUGAUCCCGCGUUGUAUUAGCUAGUUGGUGAGGUAAAGGCUCACCAAGGCGAUGAUACAUAGCCGACCUGAGAGGGUGAUCGGCCACAUUGGGACUGAGACACGGCCCAAACUCCUACGGGAGGCAGCAGUAGGGAAUCUUCGGCAAUGGACGAAAGUCUGACCGAGCAACGCCGCGUGAGUGAAGAAGGUUUUCGGAUCGUAAAACUCUGUUGGUAGAGAAGAACGUUGGUGAGAGUGGAAAGCUCAUCAAGUGACGGUAACUACCCAGAAAGGGACGGCUAACUACGUG